UGGGGAAUAUUGGACAAUGGGCGAAAGCCUGAUCCAGCCAUGCUGCGUGAGUGACGAAGGCCUUAGGGUUGUAAAACUCUUUCGUCGGGGACGAUAAUGACGGUACCCGAAGAAGAAGCUCCGGCUAACUUCGUGCCAGCAGCCGCGGUAAUACGAAGGGAGCUAGCGUUGUUCGGAAUCACUGGGCGUAAAGCGCGCGUAGGCGGCUUAACAAGUCAGAGGUGAAAGCCUGGAGCUCAACUCCAGAACUGCCUUUGAAACUGUUAAGCUUGAGUGUCGGAGGGGAUAGCGGAAUUUCUAAUGUAGAGGUGAAAUUCGUAGAUAUUAGAAGGAACACCGGUGGCGAAGGCGGCUAUCUGGACGACAACUGACGCUGAGGCGCGAAAGCGUGGGGAUCAAACAGGAUUAGAUACCCGCGUAGUCCCUGAGCGGGCUGGCAAGGCGCAU
rnacentral:rRNA from 1 species